AGGAAUUGACGGGGACCCGCACAAGUAGCGGAGCAUGUGGUUUAAUUCGAAGCAACGCGAAGAACCUUACCUAAGCUUGACAUCCCAAUGAUAUCUCCUUAAUCGGAGAGUUCCCUUCGGGGACAUUAGUGACAGGUGGUGCAUGGUUGUCGUCAGCUCGUGUCGUGAGAUGUUGGGUUAAGUCCCGCAACGAGCGCAACCCUUGUCUUUAGUUGCCAU
rnacentral:rRNA from 1 species